CAGUACUAGUACUGGUACUGUUAUGCCAGGCAAUGUUGCAUAUGCUGCACCAGAAGCUCCUAUUCCUGAUCGACACAGUCCAGCAAUGGAUGUCUACAGUUACUCUGUUCUCCUUAUGGAAAUGAAUUUACGCUCUCAACCAGAAAUGACGACAGUAGAGAGAGCACGACAAUCUGGUAGAGUCUCCUGGUCUGAUAUGAAGUCUCUCAUACAAAGAGGACUUAAUGCUAAACAUAAUGAUCGUCCUACUAUGGCUCAAGUAGUAGAGUCUUUGAAAAGGAUGAAGAUUUGAUAUUUUGAUAUUCUAAUUUCUGCCUUUAGUUAGUUUUAAACUUUAAUCUUUCUGUAUUGAAUUAUAGUUUUUGUUGCUAUACCUAUUAAUAAUAAUUAUUCUAUUUUUGUAUCUUCUUUUCUUAUUUUUGUGUGUGUAAACUGUGAUUGAACAGAUUACUCUUGUCACUACUAGUUUUUAUUGUGUGGAUUUUGUAGUAAAUUCUUUCACACUGAUGUUCAGUAAUGUGCAGCGCUGGCCUCUUGGGCCUUGGCCCCUUUGGCUAUAUAUGGCGUCUAAAAGAUCUAAAAAUCAACUGAAGGAAAGAGCCUAUCACCGCACUGUAUCAGUACGUGAUUCACUGUAUGUGUGGGCUGGUAAUCAGCCUGGUUUACCUGGAGUACAUGAUAGUGAAGAGAAGAGAAGGAUCACUAGUAAUAUACAGCACUUUACUCCUUCAACUGGUCAAUGGA